rnacentral:rRNA from 1 species
GUCGAACGGCAGCGCGGGGCAACCUGGCGGCGAGUGGCGAACGGGUGAGUAAUAUAUCGGAACAUACCCUAGAGUGGGGGAUAACGUAGCGAAAGUUACGCUAAUACCGCAUACGCACUAAGGUGGAAAGUGGGGGAUCGCAAGACCUCAUGCUCAUGGAGUGGCCGAUAUCUGAUUAGCUAGUUGGUGAGGUAAAGGCUCACCAAGGCGACGAUCAGUAGCUGGUCUGAGAGGACGACCAGCCACACUGGAACUGAGACACGGUCCAGACUCCUACGGGAGGCAGCAGUGGGGAAUUUUGGACAAUGGGCGAAAGCCUGAUCCAGCAAUGCCGCGUGUGUGAAGAAGGCCUUCGGGUUGUAAAGCACUUUUGUCCGGAAAGAAAUCCUCUGGGUUAAUACCUCGGGGGGAUGACGGUACCGGAAGAAUAAGCACCGGCUAACUACGUGCCAGCAGCCGCGGUAAUACGUAGGGUGCAAGCGUUAAUCGGAAUUACUGGGCGUAAAGCGUGCGCAGGCGGUUUUGUAAGACGGAUGUGAAAUCCCCGGGCUUAACCUGGGAACUGCAUUCGUGACUGCAAGGCUAGAGUAUGGCAGAGGGGGGUAGAAUUCCACGUGUAGCAGUGAAAUGCGUAGAGAUGUGGAGGAAUACCGAUGGCGAAGGCAGCCCCCUGGGCCAAUACUGACGCUCAUGCACGAAAGCGUGGGGAGCAAACAGGAUUAGAUACCCUGGUAGUCCACGCCCUAAACGAUGUCAACUAGUUGUUGGGGAUUCAUUUCCUUAGUAACGAAGCUAACGCGUGAAGU